AUCAUCACCCUUCAUCUCGGCACCGCGCUGCUGCAGCUUCCUCCAGACUCCUGGUCUCUGCCACCGCUGCAUGCUGGGAGAAGGGGGAGGAAGGAGGGACAGUCACGGCAGCAGUGUGUGUGGAGAGUGAGGACUGGGAGACAUCAGCUCAGCCGCAGUGAGGAGCCUUACAGGAGCCAGGAGGUGAAAAACGGAGGAGCUGUGUCAGUGGGAAGCUGCCUCCUGUAUAUACAGAGAGCUGGCUGCAGCUAGGGGAGCUCCAGAGCGCGGCUCCUCCCGGGCCCUUCCAGUUAAGCAAGCCAGCCGAGGGAAGUUCUCUGCUCCUCCGUCAGGCUGAUGAUAGCCAAAGGUAGGCACUGACAGCACUUGCCUCAAGCUUUAAUAAAUGUUGGAAGCAC